UUCCUUAAACCUAAAAAAUUUGGCGGCCUAUGAUAAAAUAAGAGGAGCUUGCCGCCUAAACGACGAUCCUCRAAUAUCUUACCUGGGUUUAAUGGCCUGUAUACCGCCAUCCAKAGUACACUARUAAUGUAUCUUCRUAAUAUAUUGAUCUAAAAUGUUAGGUCAAGGUGCAGCUUAUGCCCAGGUCGCGGUUAYCUACAAUGUUGUAGACUGUAGAUAGGGCACAUGUAAACCCCCGUGAAAGAGGAUUUUAGUGUAAUCUUUCCGAAUAGGGCCCAAGUGACARGAGUACCGCARGUGUACAUAUCGCCCGUCRCUCGCGGGA
rnacentral:rRNA from 1 species